CAGCCGUAACCCGUAACACCGGCAGCCCGAGUGGUAAUCAAUAUUAUUGGGUCUAAAGGGUUCGUAGCCGGAUUUAGUCAGUCUUCUGUGAAAUCUGACAGCUCAACUGUUAGGCUUCCGGGGGAUACUGUUAGACUUGGGACCGGGAGAGGUAAGAGGUACUACCGGGGUAGGAGUGAAAUCYWGUAAUCCCKGKGGGACCACCAGUGGCGAAGGCGUCUUACCAGAACGGGUCCGACGGUGAGGGACGAAAGCUGGGGGCACGAACCGGAUUAGAUACCCGGGUAGUCCCAGCCGUAAACGAUGCUCGCUAGGUGUCUGGAAUGGUGCGACCGUUUCAGGUGCCGCAGGGAAGCCGUGAAGCGAGCCACCUGGGAAGUACGGCCGCAAGGCUGAAACUUAAAGGAAUUGCGGGGGGAGCAC
rnacentral:rRNA from 1 species